rnacentral:lncRNA from 1 species
GAAGCAUCAGACACUGGGGGGCGCUUCUUGAACAGGCACUGGGCUAGACAGCCCAGACCUCGCGGAAACAAAGCGGGAAGGGGCCGCUCCUGGGGAGUUUUUCCCAGCUUCCCUGGGCCGGUGAGGGGUCCUGGCGUCCUGAACUGGAGAUGCUCCUUAGAGGGCACUGCUUCAGCCACCCCUGCCUUAGCAUACAUACGGGUCCCACAGGGGUCCUUCGACACCAGCUCAUCGUCUGGGUUCCACCAUCCACCCACGCACUCAUUUGGCAGCUAUCAACGGAGUAUUCACAGUACGCUGCUCACAGUUCUAACCGCGGAGGAUAGAGUUGAGGCCCACACGACAGCCCCUGCUCUCACAGAACUGAUGUCUCUAGAAGAGUCUUCCCUCAGUGAGAACGUUCUGAUUUCUAGAACAUUCUUUCUUCUGAUGAGUGAACAGCCUCACCGGAACUUCCCCAUCCUCCUGGCUUGGUUCCUGAAGUGGCCCAAGGCUGCCUUCUCCCUCCCGUGGGUGAACAGGGUCACUGCUUCCUCUCUUGUCCAGGCCCCCUGGCCUGACCCUGAGUCCCGGGCGUAACGGCGUUGUUGAACCACCACAACCCCAGGCGGCGCCUUCCUCUUGGCCCAGGGGCUCUCUUGGGGACAGUGUGCAGUACUCCCCAAGGGGGCUUUGCUGUGCAAAAGCAGCCCCUGCCGAUGCUGCGGCUCCCGUGGAUGGAGCACUGCCGUGGGAACAGAGUUGGAACUCAUCCAAAAGAAUAAAAGACAACUGUGUUGGAAGAUUGCCAAGGUUUGUAGCUGUGCCACCGCAGACUUCAGAGAUGAACACUGCCUUGGAGACGAGGAGGAUUCAAGUUGCAGAAGCAUUUAGAAACCUCAAACUUGAGACACGGUGGGAAAUCAGGAAGACAUGAGGCUUUGCUCAACACUGGAGAACACCAGUUCUUUUCAGUUUGUAUGCAUCUUUAUCAGGUCAGUGAGUGGAGGGAAUUUUUGUCCAACGUGCACCUUGACAGAGCUUCACUGACCACGGGCGGUGUCUCCCUGCUGCCACGCAGCACACCUCUGACCACAGACCUCUCUCCAGAGCCACGUGUUUGCUUCUCACCUGACAGGCUCUGUGAGAGCCCAUCUGUGCUUCCCUGGGAUGUCUGACCGCACGCAUCCCCCACUGUGCAUGGGAGCCCUGCUGGGCCCGUAGGUGGAAUUAUUUCUCAGUUUUAAUCUGAGUACAUAAUUGAGGCUUGUGCCAGCAAGGACUCCCAUCGCUUUCUUUCCUCACACUCCACACGUAGUGCUGCUCAGUGAUUUUACUGUUCCUCUAGGAAUGGCUCCCACCUGCUUAGAGUAUAAGAUUUAUCUCCUUAGCACACCAUGGGAAGUCUCCUAAAAUCCAUCCACUGCUUAUCUCUUUGGCCUCAGCUCUUGGCCCCCUGUGAUGAAACCCUGAUCUCUAGUCAUGCAGAGGUGCUUGCAACUUUCUGAAAGCUCCUUUCAAAGGUGCCUUUGCCUUCUGUUCCCUAUCCCUUCAGGGUCCUUCCCGGCUAGCCACUGCUCCUGGCUAAGUUCUGAGAGGUUGCAUCCACCUCGCGGGAGUGUUGGCCAUUUUCUCCCUUCGAGGUCCUUAUUGUUGGCCUUUCUCUCUUUCCCUACUAGACUCUAAGCUCCCUUAGAGUGGGGCCUCUGUCUCACCCAUCUCUCUGUGGCCCCCAUCUAGUGUGCGGUCAAGGCUUGCUGAGAGCUGCCUUUUCAUGUGUAUUAUGACAAUUCAGCCCAAUGACAAGUGGCUCACUCCAUCUCCAACACGCUCCUGUCAACCUUCCUUUUCCCUGGGUCUCUUCAGUUUAACCUUUUGUGGGCAUACCAUCAUGCAUUAGUUGGAAUCAGAUUGAUACUGGAGGUGUUUUUGUUUUCCAGAAAUGUCUGGGGAAAGUGUGCCUGUGUACUUUUCAUGUAUGUCCGUCGGAGGAAAAGUUUUCAUCAUUCAUUUAUUCUUGUAUCGAUUGCACAAAAUUGCUUAAGAUUCUCCUCUGUGUGUGGUUCCAUGGGAGCUUGGACCACUUUACAUGAUGAAUAGGACAGAGUAGAGUCCCUUUUGGGAAACAGGCAUCUGUAAAAUGCUAUGGGUACAUAAAGAGCCACCUAAUGGAAAUGGGUCACAGCUGGCACUCCAAAGGAGGCAAUGUCUGAGCUGAAUUGGAAGGAAAAGCAGGCAUUUGCCAAUGAGAACUUGGAGGGUUCUCCAGGAGCAGGGCGUGCAGAGAGCCCAUUGAGUGGAGGCGUGUAGGGAGCCAUGGGGACUUUGGUUUAUCUUAAGAACAAUAUGUGUUUGUGUGUACAAGGGAGGGGGCAGAAUAAGGAAUGGCAGAUAAAGCUGAAGAAGUGAGUAGAGGCCAGAUCACAGGGUCCUGACUGUGUCCUGGAUAAACACGGGGAUGCUGGAGGUUUAAUCAGGGUCAU